CCUGCCCUUAUAGGCAUGGCUGCUGUGUCACAUGUGCCUCAGUAGAUGACAGAGACGAGAGAGGCUACGUCUAUGCUCAGUGUUUUGAUCUAUGAACAUCUGAAUGGUUAGUAGCCUAACGUU
rnacentral:snoRNA from 1 species